UCAGAGCGCGAGUAUGCUGGUGGAGCGCCCGCGGUAGCGUAUGAGCGCGGCUGCCUAGCGCGUAGCCUACGCUUACCGUGGGCGGUCCACCAGCAUACUCGCGCUCUGAUUGGUCAGUGUUUUCCGUUAAUAUCUCCUCAACGAAGCCUCGGAUAACAUUUUUCCUAAGGGAAAAGUUGUUUCAAAUCACCUCUCGAACCACCCCUUUCAAGGUGUUACAACAUUUUCGAGACACCCUGUAUAGGCAAUCUGUAUUGUCAAUCAAAGAAGACAAAUGUUGAAUCGUAGAACACUGAUACAUCGUAACAUAUCGUAUAAGACGAUUUAAUGAAGGCAACUCUCCUCUAUUCCUCACAAGAAAUUCUUCGUAACUGCAAAAGUACCAUGUCUAAAAGAUUGUAUCGUAACAAUAAUGUAGUAGGAAUCAAGAAUUCGUUCCAAUAGAUUCGGGCUAUGGGCUAGAAUCACAUCCUGUUCGGGUGUACUACGAAUUCCGGCUCAACUUGUAUAUAUUUCUUCUACAACACUGAGGGACUUCUAGAAACGAAGGGGAGCCACCAGGCUUGGAAGUUGUCCUGAGAAGGUUAUAGACGGAGAUAAGAUUGUGAAAUGUCGAUCAAAAGAUAUAAGAUUACAAAAAUUAUGGCUGACCGCUUGCAAUGUAGAGCUCACCAUAUUAGUGAAAUAAUUGAAGCAUAAGAUGAUGCGUGUGCACAACAUAAAUUAAUGGUAUUUAUAUUAAUUUAUUAAUUGAAUGAAUAAAUGUUUAUGAUUAAU